GUUCGGAGAGUUUGAUCUUGGCUCAGGACGAACGCUGACGGUGUGCUUUAGACAUGCAAGUCGAACGAGAACACCCUUCGGGGCUAGUAAAGUGGCGAACGGGUGAGUAACACGUGGGCAACCUGCCCCUCGCAGGGGGACAACCGGAGGAAACUCCGGCUAAUACCCCGUAAGCUCUUGGAGUCGAGUGACUUUGGGAGGAAAGGUAGCUUCGGCCAUCCGGCGAGGGAUGGGCCCGCGGUACAUUAGCUAGUUGGUGGGGUAACGGCCCACCAAGGCGACGAUGUAUAGCUGGUCUGAGAGGAUGAUCAGCCACACUGGGACUGAGACACGGCCCAGACUCCUACGGGAGGCAGCAGUCGGGAAUCUUGCGCAAUGGGCGAAAGCCUGACGCAGCAACGCCGUGUGGGUGAGGAAGGCCUUAGGGUCGUAAAGCUCUGUUGUUGGGGACGAAGGGCGAAGGGUUAAUAGCCCCUAGCUUGACGGUACCCUUCGAGGAAGCCCCGGCUAACUACGUGCCAGCAGCCGCGGUAAUACGUAGGGGGCGAGCGUUGUCCGGAAUUAUUGGGCGUAAAGAGCGUGUAGGCGGUUUGGUAAGUCCGCCGUGAAAACCCAGGGCUCAACCCUGGGCGUGCGGUGGAAACUGCCAAGCUAGAGGAUGGUAGAGGCGAGUGGAAUUCCCGGUGUAGCGGUGAAAUGCGCAGAUAUCGGGAGGAACACCAGUAGCGAAGGC
rnacentral:rRNA from 1 species